rnacentral:lncRNA from 1 species
UUAUUUGCAUCUGGUUCUAGCAAGGGAAUUGCUGCGAAGGCCCUCAAACAGGGGGGCCAUCCUUUCGAAUCCCUAUCUAGUUGUUUAGAGAUGUAGGCCACCGGCCUCAGCCAAGGCCCCACAGUUUGGGUUAAAAGUCCAGCUGCCAUCUUUUCUCUCUGACGCAUACAAUGGAAAAGGCUUUGUGAGAUCGGGUAGCCCCUCGGCUGGGGCUUUCAGAAGUUUUUCCUUUAAGUCAUGAAAGACUUGCUGUUGUUGGAAUCCCCAUUCCAAAAGUUCCCGGUCCCCGCCCCCAUUGUGACCUCAUACAAAGGCUUGGCUAAUACUGCAAAGUUUGGGAUUCCCAGUCUACAAAACCCCACAGCUCCUAGGAAUUCUCUCACCACCCUUGUGCCUUUAGGCUUCGGUAGAUUGCAAAUGACCUGCUUUCUUUCGGAUCCCGGGCUGCUUUCGGACACCUGUCGAAUAGUAAAUCCCAAGUAAGGUACCUGCGGUCGUCGGCAGAUCUGAAUUUUCUUCUUGGACACCUAAUACCCACAGCCCUCCAGAGACCGAGAGGUUGAUGUCACUCCCAAUAUCGGAGGAAGUAUACACCCCCGUGUGAGAUGGUCCUUAAUAAUAUUCCACGGCGGAGGGGGUGAUAUGACUACAUACAUGGCAGAAAGUGGAAACCUCCCAGGGAUAUUGUUCCCACGAUCCUGGAGGGAAGAAGAUGAUGUUACUUUCAAUAUGACAGAAGGUGGAUGAAGUGGUGGACUGCCCCUCCACACCUGUGGACACGCCCCCACUGAUAUUCCUUCUAAUUGCAGCGUGGGAGAGGAGGAUAUGACACGCGAUAUCGCAGGGAGUAGAAACACCCCUGUGAUACUGUUCUUAAUAUUCAGGGAGGAAGAGGAUGAUAUUACUCCCAAUACAGACGGGUGUACACCCUCUGUACACCGAGGGUGUACACCUGUCUGUGAAAGAAUGGACACGCCCCCACUGAUAUUGUUUUUAAUGCAGCGUGGGAGGGGAGGAUAUGACACGCGAUAUCGCAGCCUCCCAAAGUGCUGGGAUUGCAGGUGCGAGCCACCGGGUCCAGCCUCUCAGGCGAUUUUCAUACCUGCAUACUCUGAUCACUACUCUGUUAAACAGUCAAGGAGGCUGAGUGCCACGUGCUGACGUCACUAAGAUCAAUACAGCAAACUCUGAAAGAUGGACAGAGAGACAGGAGAUGGUCCUUUAUAAUGCAGUGUGAUCUGUGCUGCAAUAGAGUUUUGGAAGCUAGAAGUUCAAAACGAGGUGUUGGCAGCACCAUGCUCUCUCUGAAGAUGCUAGGAAGAAUCUGCUCCAUGCCUUUCCAUUCGCUCCUGGGGUUUCCUGCAAGCCCUGACAUUCCUUGGCUUGUAGAUGCAUCACCCCAGUUUCCGCCCCCAUCAUCACAUGGCCUCCUCUCUGUGUGUGCCUCUGCGUUCCCUCUAUUCUUCUUCUAAGGACACCGACACCAGUCAUAGUGGAUUAAGGGUCCACUCCUAACCAAUUACAUCUGCAACAACCCUAUUUCCAAAUAAAGUCACAUUCUAAGA